rnacentral:rRNA from 1 species
UGGGGAAUUUUGCACAAUGGGCGCAAGCCUGAUGCAGCGACGCCGCGUGAGGGAUGAAGGCCUUCGGGUUGUAAACCUUUUUCGCUCAUGGUCAAGCCGCAGCUUUGGGUUGUGGUGAGGGUAGUGGGUAAAGAAGCCCCGGCUAACUUCGUGCCAGCAGCCGCGGUAAUACGAAGGGGGCUAGCGUUGUUCGGAUUUACUGGGCGUAAAGCGCACGUAGGCGGACUAUUAAGUCAGGGGUGAAAUCCCGGGGCUCAACCCCGGAACUGCCUUUGAUACUGGUAGUCUUGAGUUCGAGAGAGGUGAGUGGAAUUCCGAGUGUAGAGGUGAAAUUCGUAGAUAUUCGGAGGAACACCAGUGGCGAAGGCGGCUCACUGGCUCGAUACUGACGCUGAGGUGCGAAAGCGUGGGGAGCAAACAGG